UCCGCAGGCGGGCAAUUAAGUCAGAGGUGAAAUCCCACAGCUCAACUGUGGAACUGCCUUUGAUACUGGUUGUCUUGAGUUAUAGUGAAGUAGAUAGAAUAUGUAGUGUAGCGGUGAAAUGCAUAGAUAUUACAUAGAAUACCGAUUGCGAAGGCAGUCUACUAACUAUAUACUGACGCUGAUGGACGAAAGCGUGGGGAGCGAACAGGAUUAGAUACCCCGGUAGUCC
rnacentral:rRNA from 1 species